rnacentral:rRNA from 1 species
GACGAACGCUGGCGGCGUGCUUAACACAUGCAAGUCGAACGGAAAGGCCCUGCUUUUGUGGGGUGCUCGAGUGGCGAACGGGUGAGUAACACGUGAGUAAUCUGCCCUUGACUUUGGGAUAACUUCAGGAAACUGGGGCUAAUACCGGAUAGGAGCUCCUGCUGCAUGGUGGGGGUUGGAAAGUUUCGGCGGUUGGGGAUGGACUCGCGGCUUAUCAGCUUGUUGGUGGGGUAGUGGCUUACCAAGGCUUUGACGGGUAGCCGGCCUGAGAGGGUGACCGGCCACAUUGGGACUGAGAUACGGCCCAGACUCCUACGGGAGGCAGCAGUGGGGAAUAUUGCACAAUGGGCGGAAGCCUGAUGCAGCAACGCCGCGUGCGGGAUGACGGCCUUCGGGUUGUAAACCGCUUUCGCCUGUGACGAAGCGUGUGUGACGGUAAUGGGUAAAGAAGCACCGGCUAACUACGUG